rnacentral:miRNA from 1 species
UAUAGGCAUUAUUUUUUUCUUC